GUCCACGCCCUAAACGAUGACAACUAGCCGUUGGGAAUGAAGAUUCUUAGUGGCGUAGCUAACGCGAGAAGUUGUCCGCCUGGGGAGUACGGUCGCAAGAUUAAAACUCAAAGGAAUUGACGGGGGCCCGCACAAGCGGUGGAUGAUGUGGAUUAAUUCGAUGCAACGCGAAAAACCUUACCUGGUCUUGACAUGUACGGAAUUCUGCAGAGAUGCGGGAGUGCCUUCGGGAGCCGUAACACAGGUGCUGCAUGGCUGUCGU
rnacentral:rRNA from 1 species